rnacentral:lncRNA from 1 species
UGGAUAUAUGCUUGGUGCACCAAUGACAACAUAACUGUCCUUGGGAGAAUUUCCACUGUCAACAGGCAUUGCCUCCCUAGGAGUGUAGCGGGUUUGGGAGAAGACAGUUCUGCCACUCUCGUAGUGCGAUUUGGAACUGUAGGAAUAGAUUGGGAUGACACCCAACUGUUCAACGAUGCUGGCCUGAGAGCUACCACAGGCACAAUCUUCAGUGCUUUCGUAGUGCUUCUGCUGAGACAUUGGGGCCAGUUGCUUCUGGGGCAUUUGAGCUACAUGCCAUAAUAGCUGAGGCAUGGGGGUCAGUUGCUGCUGUGGCAUGGCAGUGUGUUGCUUCCGCUGCUGGGACAUUUGCGCUGGAUACCUCACUUGCUGGGGUAUGGUGGCCGGUUGCUUCUGCAGCUGGGGCUUUUGAGCUGGAUACACUGGUUGCUGGGGAAUGGUGGUCGGUUCAAUUUGCUGCUGAGGUUCAGCGGCCGGUUGCUUCUGCAGCUGGGGCUUUUGAGCUGGAUACACUGGUUGCUGUGGAAUGGUGGUCGGUUGCUUCUGCGGCAUGGAGGCCAGAUGCUUCUGAGGCAUUUGAGCUGGAUACCACACUUGCUGGGAUACGGCAGUCAGUUGCUCCUGCGGUAGAGGCGUGGAGGCCGGUUGCUUCUGCUGCUGGGGAAAUUGAGCUGGAUGCCACUCUUGCUUAGUUAUGGCGGUCAGUUCCUUCUGCCUCCGAGUUGCAGCGGCUUGUAUCUUCUGGACCAUUUUAGCUGGAUACCACACAUCGUGAGUCUGCUGGGGCAUAGGGGCCUGUUGCUUCUGCGCCAGAUGCCACACUUGCUGAAGCAUGGUAGACGGUUGCUUAUGCUGCUGGGGCAUUUGAGCCAUUUGCCACAGUUGUUGGGGUAUGGCAGUCAGUUCCUUCUGCGCUAGAUGCAUAGGGGCUGGUUGCUUCUGCUCCUGGGGAAAUUGAUCUGAAUGCCACACUUGCUGAGGUGGCUGGGGCAUGGCGGUCGGUUCAAUUUGCUGCUGAGGUUCAGUAGCUGGUUGCUUUUGCUGCUGAGGCAUUUGAGCUGGAUGCCACACUUGCGGGGGCAUGGUGGCCAGUUGCUUCUGCGGUUGAGGCAUUGGGGCUGGUUGCUUCUGCAGCAUGGUGGCCAGUUGUUUCUGCUGCUGGGGAAUGUGAGCUGGACACCACACUUGCUGGGGCAUGGAGCUUGGUUGCGUCUGCAGCAUUUGAGGUGGAUGCCACUCUUGCUGGGGCAUGGUGGCCGGUUCAUUGUGCUGUGGUUCAGCAGCCGGUUGCUUCUGCGGUAUUUGAGCCGUUUGCCACAGUUGGGGUAUGGCAGUCAGUUCCUUCUGUGCUACACGCAUAGGGGCUGGUUGCUUCUGCUCCUGGGGAAAUUGAUCUGGUUGCCACACUUGCUGAGGUGGCUGAGGAAUGGAGGUCGGUUCAAUUUGCUGCUGAAGUUCUGCGGCCGGUUGCUUCUGCAUCUGGGGCUUUUGAGCUGGAUACCACACUUGUUGAGGUAUGGCGGUAAGUUCCUUCCGCGGUAAAGGCAUUAGGGCUGGUUGCUUCUGCUGCUGGGGAAAUUGAGCUGGAUGCCACUCUUGCGUAGUUAUGGCGUUAAGUUCCUUAUGCCGCCGAGUUGCAGCGGCUUGUUGCUUCUGGACCAUUUUAGCUGGAUACCACACAUCGUGAGGCAUCUGGGGCAUGGUGGCCUGUUGCCGCACUUGCUGAAGCAUGGCAGCCAGUUGCUUAUGCUGCUGGGGCAUUUGAGCAUACUGCCACAGUUGUGGUGGAAUGGCAGUCAGUUCCUUCUGCGGUUGAUGCAUAGGGACAUGUUGCUUCUGGGGAAAUUGAGCUGGAUGCCACACUUGCUGAAGAAGCUGGGGCAUGGCGGACAGUUCCUUCUGCUGCUGAGGUUCAGUGGCUGGUUGCUUUUGUUGCUUGGGCAUUUGAGCUGGAUGCCACACUUGCUGGGGCAUGGUGGCCGGUUGCUUCUGCAGUGGAGGCAUUGGGGCUGGUUGCUUCUGCUGCAUUUGAGCUGGAUACCAUGCUUGCUGGGGCAUAGCGGUUGGUUGUUUCUGCAGUAUAGGAAUUGGAGCCAGUUGCUUCUGGGGCAUGGUGGUCAGUUCCUUCUGCUGCUGGGGAAUUUGUACUGGAUACCACACUUGCUGAGGUAGCUGGGGUAUGGAGGCCUGUUCCUUCUGAUGCUGAAGUUCAGUAGCUGGUUGCUUCUGGGGCAUUUGAGCUGGAUACAACACUGCUUGAGGCUGCUUAGGAUAACUGUCCGGUAGAGUCUGCUGUUGGGUCAUGGCGGCCGGUUGCUUUUCCUGCUGGGGCAUUUGAGCUGGAUACCACAUUUUCUGAGGUGCCUGGGGCAUGUGGACCAGUUGCUUUUGCAGGAUGACGGCCGGAUGCUUCUGUUGCUCUUCGGUCAGCUGCGCUUGCAUUUGAGCUGUUGGAGAGUUGUAAUUACCAUAUCCUUUAGACCUAAGUGAGCCGGCAUAGAGCCAUGCUGCAUCAGAACCUAGUGCAGGAUACCCAUCACCUAGGUUAGAAAAAGAGAAAAAUAGUAAAAUGCCAGCCUUUGAAGUUAUUGGAAAUUAAUGUGUAGAAACUCACUUGAUGUAGAACAGGUUAUCCCUCCAAUUAGCAGGCAACAAAGCCAAG